UGUUGGGAGAUCUUCCAGCACAGGGUUUGUCCUGGUGGGUCCCAGGAGAUCUUCCCUCAAAGGACUUCUCCAGGUGGAUCCCAGGAGCUCCUCCAGCAAAAGGUGCUUUGGACAGAUCCUGGAAGUUCUUCCAGGGGAGGAUUCCUCCAGGUGGAUCCCAGGAACUCUUCCCUCAAAAGGUUUCUCCAGAUGGAUCCCAGGAACUCCUCAAACAAAGGAUUUCUCCAGAUGGAUCCCAGGAGCUCCUCCAGCAAAAGGUGCUUUGGACAGAUCCUGGAAGUUCUUCCAGGGGAGGAUUGCUCCAGGUAGAUCCCAGGAGCUCUUCCCUCAAAAGGUUUCUCCAGGUGGAUCUCUGGAGAUCUUCCAGGGGAGGAUUUCUCCAGGUGGAUCCCAAGAGCUCCUCAAACAAACGGUUUCUCCAGGUGGAUCCCAGGAGCUCCUCCAGCAAAUGAUGCUUUGGACAGGUCCUGGAAGUUCUUCCAAGGAAGGAAUUCUCCAGGUGGAUCCCAGGAGCUCCUCAAACAAAGGAUUUCUCCAGGUGGAUCUCUGGAGAUCUUCCCUCAAAGGUUUCUCCAGGUGGAUCCCAGGAGCUCCUCCAGCCAAGGGCUGGUCUGGAUGGACACGGGAAGUUCUCCCAGGGAAGGACUCGUUGGAGCAGAUCCUGGGAGAGCUUCCAGGGCAGGAUUGGUCUGGAUGGAUCCCGGGAGGGGAUUUCUCCUGGUGGAUCCCAGAAUUCCCACGGGAUCUCCUGCUCCGGGUGGGUUUUCCAUGGAUGGAGACGAGUGGGAUCCACCCGGACUGAGAACUUCGGGAUCCCCAAUUCCCAACAGAUCCAGAACUUUGGGAAUCCCGUGGAUUGAGGACUUUGGGAUCAGGAAUUCCCAACAGAUCGAGAACUUUGGGAUCCUCAAUUCCCAACAAAUCCAGAACUUUGGGAUCCCCAUGGAUGGAGAACUUUGGGAUCCUCAAUUCCCAAGGGAUCCAGAACUUUGGGAUUUCCAAUUUCCAGUGGAUCGAGAACUUUGGGAUCUCCAAUUCCCAAUGGAUUGAGAACUUUGGGAAUCCCGUGGAUUGAGGACUUUGGGAUUUGGAAUUCCCAGCAGAUCCCAAACUUUGGGAUCCCCAUGGAUGGAGAA
rnacentral:lncRNA from 1 species